GAUUCAGCCUUCGAUAUACUCAGCAAUAUAAAAAGCGAUCUAACCUACCGUUCUGUUCGUCUUUUGAAAAAUAUGCUGAACAGAUAUCACGACAGACUUACGAAGAGAUAUCCAGACAUCAUCGAGAAGCGGAUGGAUCUCUAGUUAUCUCGUAUUUUUAGUAUAAAUAUAUAUAAUAAUAUUUAAUAAAUAAAAACAAUUAAUUUUUUAAUUUUAUGAUGCAGAUUAUUAGAUCAAUCGUACUCUAGAUUUUCUGCACCGCGGGUGGUCCACAAAGAAUUUUGCUAGUGGAAAGU
rnacentral:lncRNA from 1 species